GCCUGGGUGGCUCAGUCGAUUAAGCGUCCGACUUCAGCUCAGGUCACCAUCUCAUGGUUUGCAGGUUCGAGCCCUGCGUCGGGCU
rnacentral:tRNA from 1 species